UACGGAGGGUGCAAGCGUUAUCCGGAUUCACUGGGUUUAAAGGGUGCGUAGGUGGGCCUGUAAGUCAGCGGUGAAAUCUCCGGGCUUAACCCGGAAACUGCCAUUGAUACUAUAGGUCUUGAAUUAUCUGGAGGUAAGCGGAAUAUGUCAUGUAGCGGUGAAAUGCUUAGAUAUGACAUAGAACACCAAUUGCGAAGGCAGCUUACUACGGAUACAUUGACGCUGAGGCACGAAAGCGUGGGGAUCAAACAGG
rnacentral:rRNA from 1 species